GUCGUCAUCGUCGUCUUUGUUGUUGUUGUUGUUGUUGUUGUUGUUGUUAUAGUUGUUGUUGUUGUCGUUGAUGUCGUUGUUUUCGUUGUUGUUGUUGGUGGUGGUGUAUUCGUGGUGGUGUCUUCUUUGUUUUUGCUGUUGUUGUGGUUGUUGUUGUUGUUGUUGUUGUUGUUGUUGUUGUUGUNNNNNNNNNNCUCGUUGUCAUCUUUGUUGUUGUUGUUGUUGUUGUUGUUGUUGUUGUUGUUAUUGUUGUUAUUGUGGUUGUUGUUGUUGUUGUUGUUGUUGUUGUUGUUGUUN
rnacentral:lncRNA from 1 species